UGGGGAAUAUUGGACAAUGGGCGAAAGCCUGAUCCAGCAAUGUCGCGUGAAUGAUGAAGGCCUUAGGGUUGUAAAGUUCUUUCGGUGGGGAAGAUAAUGACGGUACCCACAUAAGAAGCUCCGGCUAACUCCGUGCCAGCAGCCGCGGUAAUACGGAGGGAGCUAGCGUUGUUCGGAAUUACUGGGCGUAAAGAGCGCGUAGGCGGCUAACUAAGUUGGGAGUGAAAUCCCAGGGCUUAACCCUGGAAUUGCUUUCAAAACUGGCUAGCUAGAGAACGAUAGAGGAUGGUGGAAUUCCUAGUGUAGAGGUGAAAUUCUUAGAUAUUAGGAGGAACAUCGGAGGCGAAGGCGACCAUCUGGGUCGUAUCUGACGCUGAGGUGCGAAAGCGUGGGGAGCAAACAGG
rnacentral:rRNA from 1 species